AGCAGCCGCGGUAAUUCCAGCUCCAAUAGCGUAUAUUAAAGUUGUUGCAGUUAAAAAGCUCGUAGUUGAAUUUCGGGGUUAGUAGGUUGGUCAUGCCUCUGGUAUGUACUGGUCUCACUGAUUCCUCCUUCCUGAUGAACCUUAAUGCCAUUAAUUUGGUGUUUUGGGGAAUUUGGACUGUUACUUUGAAAAAAUUAGAGUGUUUAAAGCAAGCUAACGCUUGAAUACAUUAGCAUGGAAUAAUGAAAUAGGACGUUCGAUCCUAUUUUGUUGGUUUCUAGGAUUGACGUAAUGAUUAAUAGGGAUAGUUGGGGGCAUUAGUAUUCAAUUGUCAGAGGUGAAAUUCUUGGAUUUAUUGAAGACUCACUACUGCGAAAGCAUUUGCCAAGGAUGUUUUCAUUAAUCAAGAACGAAAGUUAGGGGAUCGAAGACGAUCAGAUACCGUCGUAGUCUUAACCAUAAACUAUGCCGACUAGGGAUCGGAUGAUGUUAAUUUUUUAAUGACUCAUUCGGCGCCUUA
rnacentral:misc_RNA from 1 species